rnacentral:rRNA from 1 species
AAAUUGAAGAGUUUGAUCAUGGCUCAGAUUGAACGCUGGCGGCAGGCCUAACACAUGCAAGUCGAACGGUAACAGGAAUCAGCUUGCUGAUUCGCUGACGAGUGGCGGACGGGUGAGUAAUGUCUGGGAAACUGCCUGAUGGAGGGGGAUAACUACUGGAAACGGUAGCUAAUACCGCAUAACGUCGCAAGACCAAAGAGGGGGACCUUCGGGCCUC